UUACUGGUAGGUUAAUUUAAACUGGCAAAUUGUGGUUUUGUUGAUUACGUUUUGUAUCAGUAAC
rnacentral:tRNA from 2 species